AUUGAACGCUGGCGGCAUGCCUUACACAUGCAAGUCGAACGGCAGCGCGGGGGCAACCCUGGCGGCGAGUGGCGAACGGGUGAGUAAUAUAUCGGAACGUACCCAAGAGUGGGGGAUAACGUAGCGAAAGUUACGCUAAUACCGCAUACGAUCUAAGGAUGAAAGUGGGGGACCGCAAGGCCUCACGCUCCUGGAGCGGCCGAUAUCUGAUUAGCUAGUUGGUGGGGUAAAGCCUACCAAGGCAUCGAUCAGUAGCUGGCCUGAGAGGACGACCAGCCACACUGGGACUGAGACACGGCCCAGACUCCUACGGGAGGCAGCAGUGGGGAAUUUUGGACAAUGGGGGCAACCCUGAUCCAGCAAUGCCGCGUGAGUGAAGAAGGCCUUCGGUUGU
rnacentral:rRNA from 1 species